ensembl:lncRNA
UCUACAACAACCACAACUGCUCCCACAUCAACACACCUUCUUCAACAACAACCACAGCUGCUCCCACAACAACCACAUCCUUCCCCACAACAACCACAGGUGCUCCCACAACAACCACAGCUGCUUCAACAGCAACCACAGAAUCUUCAACAACAACUACAGCUGCUCUUCCAACAACCACAGCUUCUCCCACAACAAACACAGCAGCUCCCACAACAACCACAGUUGCUCCCAAAACAACCACAGCUGCUCCCACAACAAUCCCAGCUGCUCCCACAACAACCACAGCUACUCUCACAACAACCACAGCUGCUCCCACAACAACCACAGCUGCUCCAACAACAACCACAGCUGCUCCAACAACAACCACAGCUGGUCCAACAACAACCACAGGUGCUCCCACAACAACCACAGCUUCUCCCACAACAACCACAGCUGCUCCACAACAACCACAGCUGUUCCCACAACAACCACAGCUGUUCCCACAACAACCACAGCUUCUCCAACAACAACCACAGAUACUUCAACAACAACCAUAACUGCUCCCACAUCAACCACACCUGCUCCAACAACAACCCCAGCUGCUCCCACAACAACCACAGCUGUUCCCACAACAACCACAGUCGCUACCACAACAACCACAGCUGCUCCCACAACAACCACAGCUGUUCCCACAACAACCACAGCUGCUCCCACAACAACCACAGCGGUUCCCACAACAACCACAGCUGCUCCAACAACAACCCCAGAUGUUCCAACAACAACCACAUCUGUUCCAACAACAACCAUAGCUUCUCCCACAACAACCAUACAAGCUCCAACGACAACUACAAUUGGGGCUACAAAACCACAGAUACUCCAACAACAACCACACCUGCUCCCACAUCAACCACACCUUCUCCAACAACAACCACAGCUGCUCCCAAAACAACCACAUCCUUCCCCACAACACCCACAUCUGCUCCCAAAGCAACCACAGCUGCUUCAACAGCAACCACAGAAUAUUCCACAACAACUACAGCUGCUCCGCCAACAACCACAGCUUCUCCCACAACAAACACACCGGCUCCCACAACAACCACAGAUGCUCCCAAAACAACCACAGCUGCUCCCACAACAACCACAGCUACUCUCACAACAGCCUCAUUUGUUCCCGCAACAACCACAGUUGCUCCCACAACAAACACAACCGCUCCCACAGCAACCACAGCUGCUUCAACAGCAACCACAGAAUCUUCCACAAUAACCACAUCUGCUCUCCCAACAACCACAGCUUCUCCGACAACAAACACAGCGGCUCCCACAACAACCACAUAUGCUCCCAAAACAACCACAGCUGCUCCCACAACAAACACAGCUAAUCCAACAAUAACACCAGCUGCUCCCAUAACAACCACAGCUGCUCUUACAGCAACCACAGCUACUCUCACAACAACCACAGCUACUCUCACAACAACCACAGCUGCUCCCACAACAACCACAGCUGCUCCAACAAGAACCACAGCUAAUCCCACAACCACGACAGCCACUUACACUUUAUCAUCAGGUGUUCCCACAACAACCACAGUUGCUCCCACAACAACCACAGCUGCUCCCACAACAAACACAGUGACUCCCACAACAACCACAGCUGCUCCCACAACAACCACAGCUGCUCCAAAAACAACCACAGCUGUUCCCAGAACAACCAUAGCUGCUACGACAACAACCCAAGAUGUUCAAACAACAACCACAGCUUCUCCCACAACAACCAUACAAGAUCCAACGACAACUACAAUUGGGGCUACAACAACCACAGAUACUCCAACAACAACAAAAUCUGCUCCCACAUCAACCACACCUUCUCCAACAACAACCACAGCUGCUCGCACAACAACCACAUCCUUCCCCACAGGACCCACAUCUGCUCCCACAACAACCACAGAAUCUCCCACAACAACCACAGUUGCUGCCACAACAACCACAGAAUCUCCCACAACAACCAGAGUCACGACUUCAAAAACCACAGAAUCUCCCACAGCAACCACAGCUGCUCCAACAACAACCACAGCUGCUCCCACAACAACUACAGCUGCUCUCACAACUACCACAUCUGCUCCCACAACAACCACAGCUGCUCUCACAGCAAACACAGCGGCUCCCACAACAACCACAGCUGAUCCCACAACAACCACAGCUGCUCCCACAACAACCACAGCUGUUCCCACACAAACCACAGCUGCUACGACAACAACUCCAGAUGUUCCAAAAACAACCACAUCUGCUCCGAAAACAACCACAGCUUUGCCCACAACCAACAUACAAGCUCCAACGACAACUACAUUUGGGGCUACAACAACCACAGAUGCUCCCACAACAAACACAGCGGCUCCCACAACAACCACAUAUGCUCCCAAAACAACCACAGCUGCUCCCACAACAACCACAGCUGCUCCCACAACAACCACAGCUGCUCCCACAACAACCACAGCUACUCUCACAACAACCACAGCUGCUCCCACAACAACCACAGCUGCUCCAACAACAACCACAGCUAAUCCCACAACCACGACAGCUACUUACACAACAUCAUCAGCUGCUCCCACAACAACCACAGCUGCUCCCACAACAACCACAGUCGCUGCCACAACAACCAGAGCUGUUCCCACAACAACCACAGCUGCUCCAACAACAACCACAGCUGUUCCCAGAACAACCACAGCUGCUACGACAACAACCCAAGAUGUUCAAACAACAACCACAGCUUCUCCCACAACAACCAUACAAGCUCCAACGACAACUACAAUUGGGGCUACAACAACCACAGAUACUCCAACAACAACCAAAACUGCUCCCACAUCAACCACACCUUCUCCAACAACAACCACAGCUGCUCGCACAACAACCACAUCCUUCCCCACAUAUUCUUCCACAGCAACCACAGAAUCUCCCACAACAACCACAGUUGCUGCCACAACAACAACAGCUAUACCCACAACAACGCCACCUGCUCUGACAAAAACUCCAAAUGUUCCAACAACAACCAUAGCUGCUCAAAUGACCAUCACAGCUGCCUCCAUAUCAACGACAGCUGCUAUCCCAACAACAGCAGCCUCUCCCACAACAAACACAGCAUCUCCCACAACAACCACUGCUCCUCCCACAACAACCACAGCUGCUCCAACAACAACCACAGAAUCUCCCACAACAACCACAGUCACGACUUCAAAAACCACAGAAUCUCCCACAGCAACCACAGCUGCUCCCACAACAAGCACAGCUGCUCCCACAACCACAGCUGCUCUCACAACAACCACAUCUGCUCCCACAACAACCACAGCUGCUCUCACAACAACCACAGCUGCUCCAACAACAACCACAGCUAAUCCCACAACAAUGACAGCUACUUACACAACAUCCUCAGGUGUUCCCACAACAACCACAGUUGCUCCCACAACAACCACAGCUGCUCCCACAACAACCACCGCUGCUCCCACAACAACCACAGCUGUUCCCACACAAACCACAGCUGCUACGACAACAACUCCAGAUGUUCCAAAAACAACCACAUCUGCUCCAACAACAACCACAGCUUCUCCCACAACCACCAUACAAGCUCCAACGACAACUACAAUUGGGGCUACAACAACCACAGAUGCUCCCACAUCAACGACACCAUCUACAACAACAACCACAACUGCUCGCACAACAACCACAGCAGCUCCAAAGACAACUACAACUGAGGCUACAACAACCACAGAUACUCCAAUGACAACCACAGCUACUCCCACAACAACCACAGCUGCUCCAUCAACAACCACAGCUAAUCCCACAACAACAACAGCUAUUUACACAACAUCCUCAGGUGUUCCCACAUUAACCACACCUGCUUCAACAGCAAACACACAAACAAACACAGCUGCUCCAGCAACAACAACAUAUGCUCCCACAUCAACCACUUCUGCUCCCACAACAACCACAGCUGCUCCAGCAACAACAACAUAUGCUCCCACAACAACCACUUAUGCUCCCACAACAAGCACAGCUGCUCCAGCAACAACCACAGCCUCUCAAGCAACAACAACAUAUGCUGCCACAACAAGCACUUCUGCUCCAGCAACAACCACAGCUGCUCCCAAAACCACCACAGCUGCUGCCACAACAACCACAGCUGCUCCAAGAACAACAACAUCUGCUCUGACCACAGUUACAACAGGUUAUUCAACCACUACCACAACACCGGCCCCUCCACCACCAGAGGUGAAGUUGGAGUUCAAAUUGGAGCAAAACUUCACAGCAGAUUUGAAUAAUGUUUCUUCACCAGAGUUCAAAGAAUUAGCAAAUACUGUGUCUACAGCGCUGGAAAAUGUGUACAAAAGUAAAUAUGGAUCCAGUUUCAUUCGCAUAGAAGUUAUAGGUUUCAGUCAAGGUUCAAUUGUGGUAAUCACUAAGCUGGUAUUUAACGAUACCAGCGUAGUCCCUGCGAACAGUGAUGUGGCUGCCACGAUGACAGAGGCAGUUUCAAGCAACAGCUCUAAUUUCUCUCUCCCAGUGAACACAGCCUCCAUUGUGGCAACAAAGGUGAUUGUACCAACACCACCCCCAGCAGCCACAACUCCAACUUCAGCUGUGGAUACAACAACCACAGCUGCUCCUACAUCAACCACAGCAGUUCCACAAACAACAACAGCUACUCUCACAACAACCACAGCUGCUCCCACAACAACCACAGCUGUUCCAACAACAUCGCCACCUGCUCAGACAAAAACCCCAGAUGUUCCAACAACAACUACAGCUGCUCCCACAACCACCCCUGCUGCUCCCACAACAACCACAGAAUCUCCCACAACAUCCACAGUUGCUGCCACAACAACCACAGCUGUUCCCACAACAACGCCACCUGCUCUGACAAAAACUCCAGAUGUUCCAACAACAACCACAGCUGCUCAAACGACAAUCACAGCUGCUCCCAUAUCAACGACAGCUGCUCUCCCAACAACCGCAGCCUCACCCACAACAAACACAGCGGCUCCAACAAAAUCCCCAGCUGCUCCCACAACAACCAUAGCUGCUCCAACAACAACCACAGAAUCUCCCACAACAACCACAGUCGCUACUUCAAAAACCCCAGCUGCUCCAACAACAACCUCAGCUGCUCCCACAACAAUCACAGAAUCUCCCACAACAACCACAGCUGCUCCCACAACAACCACAGCUGCUCUCACAACAACCACAGCUGCUCCCACAACAACCACAGCUACUCCAACAACAACCACAGCCUAUCCCACAACAACCACAGCUGCUCCCACAACAACCACAGCUGCUCCUACAGCAACCACAGCUGCUCCAACAAAAACCACAUCAUCUACCACAAAAACCACAGAUGCACCCACAACAACAACAGCAUAUCCAACAACAACCACAACUAUUCCCACAACAACCACAGCUGCACCCACAACAACCACAGGUGCACCCACAACAACCAAAGGUGCACCCACAACAACCACAGCCAUCCCCACAACCCCAUAGCUUCUCCCACAGCAACCAUAGAAGCUCCAACGACAACUACAAUUGGGGCAACAACAACCACAGAUACUUCAAAAACAACCACAGCUGUUCCCACAACAACCACGGCUACUCCGACAACAACCCCAGAUGUACCAACCACAACCACAACUCUUCCAACAACAACCACAACUGCUCCAACAACAAACACAGAUACAUUCAAAACAACCACAGCUGCUCCCACAACAACCACAGCUGCUCUCACUACAACCGCAGCUAUUCCCACAACAACCACAGCUGCUCCAACAACAACCAGAGAUUUUCCCACAACAACCACAGCUGCUCCCACAACAACCACAGCUGCUUCCACAACAACACCAGCUGCUCCAACAACAACCUCAGCUGCUCCCACAACAACCACAGCUGCUCCAACAACAACCACAGCUGUUCCCACAACAACCAUAGCUGCUACAACAACCACAGAUACUCCAACAACAACCACUACUGCUCCCACAUCAACCACAGCUGCUCCCACAACAACCACAGAAUCUCCCACAACAACCACAGCUGCUCCCACAACAACCACAGCUGCUCCCACAACAACCACAGUUGAUCCCACAACAACCACAGCUGUUCCCACAACAACCACAGAAUCUCCCACAACAACCACAGUCGCUACUUCAAAAACCACAGCUGCUCCAACAACAACCAGAGCUGUUCCCACAACAACCACAGCUGUUCCCACAACAACCACAGCUGCUCCCACAACAACCACAGCUGCUCCCACAACAACCACAGCAGCUCCAACAACAACCACAGCUGUUCCCACAACAACCACAGCUGUUCCCACAACAACCACAGCUGUUCCCACAACAACCACAGCUGCUCCCACAACAAC